GGCGGACUGAAGAUGGGGGACUGAACGUAGUUGUGUAGAGCACCUCAAGAUAAAAACGUAAUAUUCAAUAUCGGUAAAUUAGACUAAAUAUUAGCACUACACAAUAUGGUGGGUGAUAUCCUUCAAUCUGGAUAACAGCACAAAACAAAUCUUAAGACUAGAGAAAUUUAUCGACAAAUAUUACGAAAACAAGCAACACCCAAACAUGACGGUGAGUAAGACAGGGGAACCUAUUUCAAAACGAAAAAGUGACUCUUCCACAGACACAGACGAUUUAAUAUUUUCACCACCGGGAAUGGUAAAGGUCGAAACCAAUCGGUUAAAAUCACUAAAUGACAAACUGGGUAUACUUGAAUUAGUCAGUAAGGAUAUAAAAUAGUUGAAGGCAAGCCUCGAGAUGAGUGAUGAAAAAGCUGCGACAUUGGAGAAGGAAACAAACAGGCUAAAAGGGACAGUCAAUAAGAUUGAAACAGAAGUUUAUGAACUUAAAAAGAAGAACACUGUUCUGAGAGAAGCCUUACUUGACAUACAGACUAGAUCUAUGAGAGAGAAUCUGGUACUUAUAGGUAUCCAAGAGAAAGAAGGAGAAGCUCCUGAAUCUGUAGUUAGAGAGUUCCUCCUUACAACGCUUCAGAUUCCACCCGAAGCUAUCGACAAAAUCCAACUCGAACGUGUACACCGCUUCGGACAGAGAGACCAAAGGUAUGAACGCCCAAUCGUUGCCAAAUUCGCUCCUUUUAAAGAUAAAAUAAUGGUUAAAAGCCUGGGUAAAAGACUUGCUGGGACCCAAAUUGUUAUGAAUGACCAGUUCCCAAAGGAGAUUGCAGAACGGCGUAAAGUUCUGUAUCCAAUUUUCAAGGAAAAUAGAUUAAAAGGGAAACGAGUAGCUCUCGUCGUCGAUAAGCUAUAUAUUGAUAGCCAGUUGUUCAGAGACACAAAGACUACUCCAUGGCUAUUUUAAAAAUUACAAAGUUCUUAUAGACGAGGAAUAUAAUGAAACACAAUUCUAGCCCGGUGAUGGACUGUAAUAAUACAACAAAAAUAUAGCUUUUCUAUAUAUCUUCAAAUAUAACUAAUUGGAACACAAAAGCACUAAUUCAACAUGGUGAAGAUAAAAACUCAGUAAACAGAAGGCACAGUAUGUGUGGUGUGUGGUUUUUGAUUUUUGGGAAAGUGUGGCGUUUAAUGAGAAAGGAAAUGGUUGCAUAUCCCAGAACCAAUGUAUUGCUGUGAGCGGGGGUGUGAGAGAGCUUUCAAUGUUGUUCAGAUGAUGGAUAUACUUUUUAUAAUGAAUUAUACAUCUUAUUUAUUUUUUGUCCUAUCAUGGUGGAACAGCGUUUUAAAAUAAAUUAUACAUUUGAUUUAUUUAUUGUUCUAUCAUUGGGAACUACAUUUGAAAAAUGAAUUAUACAUCUCAUUUAUUUAUUUAUGAUCCUAUAUGGAUGGAAUGGUCCACAACCCUAUACCCUAGACACCCACCUGAAUGACCCAGAUACUAAGGAGAAGUCCCUAACUGUUUUAUGGGCCGCUGUAAGCAGUCUGUAUGCAGCCAAAAUGAGGUCAGAGACCUAGAGCAGCACUGCCUCCUCAAGAUUCUGAGCCUGCUUGGCAGGGUUGGUCCUGCAAAGCCAAAGCCCCCUAAAGGGAGAGCAUAAUAUGCAAGUAAAUUCUCAAAGAUGCUAAUGAGAACCUUGACGACCUUGUACCUAGCCGGUGUGUAUUCCGGUGGGUGCCCCCACCCAGGCAGUGGCAGUGCUGGCAACACUAGCUGCAGUAACCCAUGGGGAGGGGGUCACACUCGGACAUUCAGAGAGGGGGUAUAUUAUUGUGGCCCUGGUGGCACAAAAUUAAAAGUCUGACUGCAUGGUGUUUCAGGGAAAGGAGUACAUUUGACCUCCUGUAACGGUUGUCGUCUUCCUCUUCUGAGGAGGAGUAGGAAAUAUCGGACCAAUACGCAGCGUGGUAAGUGUUCGUCAUAUUUAUUACACUCAAUACAGAAAACAAACGAACAAGCGAAUAAAGAAAAAAUGAAACAGUCCCGUAUGGUGAAAAACUCUGAAACGGAAAAUAACCCCCCACAAACAAGAGUGGGAAAACAGGCUACCUAAGUAUGGUUCUCAAUCAGAGACAACGAUUGACAGCUGCCUCUGAUUGGGAACCAUACCAGGCCAAACAUAUAGAAAUAUAAACACAAGAACAAAACAUAGAAUGCCCACCACAACUCACACCCUGACCAACCUAAUAUAGAGACAUACAAAAGGAACUAAGGUCAGGACGUGACAGUACCCCCCCCCAGACUCCGACCGCAAAACCUAAACCCAUAGGGGAUUGUCUGGGUGGGCAUCUGUCCGCGGCUCUGGCGGCUCUGACCCCACUCCACGGUCCACUUAGGUGGCGCCUUUGGAGCGUCGACCCUCGCCGCCGACCUCGGACUGGGGACCCUUUCAGCGGGCCCCGAAUAGACGGGAGACUCCGUCAGCGCCGGACAGGCGGGCGACUCUGGCAGCGCCGGAGUGAAGGGCGACUCUGGCAGCGCCGGAGUGAAGGGUGACUCUGGCAGCUCCUGCCUGAAGGGUGACACUGGCAACUCCUGCCUGACGGAAGGCUCUGGCAGCUCCUGACAGACGGGCGGGUCUGGCAGCUCCUGACAGACGGGCGGCUCUGGCAGCUCCUGACAGACGGGCGGCUCUGGCAGCUCCUGACUGCCGACACAUAUUUUUCUUUAAACUGCAUUGCUGGUUAAAGGCCUGGCUUAUGUGGAUGCAACGAAACCCCAGUGUUGCUUAGUAACCUGAUGCCACUGACAGAGUACACUGUGACCAUCUUGGCUUUGUAUGAUGGGGGUCGCCAAGCCAAGCUGGCUGAUUUACCACCAAGACAGUCCCAGAGCCUCUGAACCUAAAGACCAGUGAAGUCUCCACAGAGAACUUCAGGGUCACCUGGGAUCACUCAGCCCAAGACGUGGUCCUCUACAGACUCACCUGGACCCCAACCAGAGGAGGAGACACUAAAGAGAUGCUGGUGAAUGGUAACAUGAACACCUACCUUCUAACUGGACUGAUUCCCAACACUGAAUACAAGGUGGCCGUGUCCUCCACCUUCAGAGACAAUUUCAAAAGGGACGCCGUGAACAUCAACGAGUCAACAGGGAAGACCAGAGACAACCCCUCUCCUCUUGACUCAGGUCAGGGUUCGAGUGAAAGUUCUAGUGAAGGUUCUAGUCAGGAGGGAUCUCCAACUGGCAGCCAUGAAGAUACUGAUGAGAACCAAGAACUGUUACCUGGUAAAGAUUCUUGGUGACGGGACACCUACAGGACCAUCGGAUUCAGCCUCCGAGUUGUACGGUCCAUGGUGGCAGGCAUUGUCCCGUCUGUUGCACAAGCCAUUUGGGACUGUCUGGUUGGUGAAUACAUGCCUGUCCCCAAGGAGGAAGACUGGAGGGCCAUCGCUGCCAGGUUCCUGGAGAGGUGGAAUUUCCCCAACUGUCUUGGCUACAUGACCGAAAACAUGUAGUAAUCCAGGCUCCACUGGCCUUCCCUUUGAGACCCAACCUCAUGAGGCCCUACACUGGACUCCAGCUGCCAUUGCCAAAGCCUGUAAGGAUCUUUAACAAAUGACUGUCCAGGGCAAGGUUAGUUGUUGAAUGCGCCUUUGGGAUUCUGGCAGCUGGUGGAGAAUGUAUCGGAGUGCUUGGUCUCAGCCCCUCAAAUGUCGAUGCCUGGGUGAAGGCCACGUGUUCUCCACAACUACCUGCAGAGGUCAUUCCAGGAGCCGCUCCGGAUGGAGAUGGGCACGCCAAAUGGUCCAGGGCAGGUGCCAACAACGCCCCCAGACAGGCACUCCAGGUGAGGGAGAAGCUGACCACCUACUUCUCAUCGCCAGCAGGUGAAGUCCCAUGGCAGCAUAUCGUGGAGUGAAACAGCUCUUUUAAGCGCCCCCUAAAAUGUUUAUUUAUUCAUUUAACAUUUAACAAAGGUUAUUUUAAGAACCAUCCACAGUUGUCCAUAAAAUUGCAUUUUCCCCAGAUUAUUUUAUGUCUCUGUCUCUCUUCAUUUGGAAGUUAUAUUUAAGUGGAAUUUGGGUAAAGACCACAACUUAACCAC